rnacentral:lncRNA from 1 species
CUCAUUAAAUGCAAAAAUAAUCAUUUUAAUAACCUUCAUAAAUACAGCUUCACGACUAGAAAGAAUUCUUCAAGGCCGUGAAGCAUCAAUGUGAAAAAUAGAUUUGAAAAGCUGGAAACCCUCGUGGCCGUGAACAAUUCUUCAUGAUUGGGAAGAUCCUCUUUCAUAGCUCGAAAUAUUUGUUCACGGCUAGAAACUUUGGGUUUCACUGGAGAAUUUGGCCGUGAACUCUACUGUGGUGUUUUGAAGUUUUGGAGAGUUGUCAUUUUUUACGGAUGUGAACUUUUUCUUCACGACUGGAAAGAUUUGUUCACGACCGUAAAUUUCCAUCUUUAUGGCUAAAAAUGUUGGCCAUGACUUCUUCUGUGGUUUCUUCAAGUUUUGAAAGGAAGACAUUUUUCACGGACAUGAAUAUUUCUUCAGGACUGUGAAUCCUCAUUUCCAUGUUUGGAAAGAAUGCCAUGAAAGUUACUGCCCUUUUUGCUGUUUGAGGCGAGAAUUCUUCAUAGCUGAGAAACUGAUGUUUCACGGCCGUGAAUAAAGGUUCACGGGCAUGAAUAUUUCUUCACGGCCGUGAAUCCUCGUUUCUACGUUUGGGAAGGAUGUCGUGAACGCCAUUACCCUUUUUGUUGUUUGAGGCGAGAAUUCUUCAUAGCUGGAAAACUGAUGUUUUAUAGCCGUGAAUAAAAAUUCACAGGUAUGAAUGUUUUAGAAGAACCAACUUUUCUUCCUUGCAUAUAAACACUCAAACAUAAAAAGCAUUCUUAAUUAUUUAUAACCAUCAAAAUAUGAUUAAUAACUAUCAAGGUUCAAUAUAAAGUAUAUUAAAUUUUUUUUACAAAUCUAUUAUGCGAUAAAUAAAAUAUAUGAUAUCACUAUAAUUAUUCAAAUUAAUUAGCCACAAAAUUAGUUGUUUUUUUAACAAUUAAAAUGAGAUAUUCACUCUUUAAAUAAAGUACAAGAGUCCAUCAACCUCAAAAGCAAAAUAAAUCAAAUAUGACAAAAAAGUCUAGAAUAAAUAAAAUUUCAAAACCCAAUAUACUCCACAAAUCCUAACAAGAAACGGAAGAAAUGCAGCCAUCAGAGCCACAACCGCCACCAUUGCUGCAGAGCCAUUACCUCAUAACUAAACUCUUAACCUUCUGUUGAGCUUGUAGAGAUGGAACUUCAAUUGCAAGGCAUGCUACUUCUUCGAUGAAACUCAACCCAAAAUCAAAAGAUAAAUACAAGAGUUUAAAAGAGCUAAUAAGGAGGAGAGAAAUCCCUAUCAUCUAGUCUUUCAUAGAGAUAAGCACCCUCAAGCUACCAAAAUAUUGAACUGAGCCCUUGAAGGAUAUGAACACUAAGCCAAAAGGAUAUCAAAGAAAUGGACUAAUGCAUUUUAAGCCACCGUCAAAAUUUUCAAUUGAUAUUAAAGAAAAGGUGGCUAAGAAACACAGAAAUAAGAAUAAAUCCAUAGAUUUAUCUUGUAAGAAAAGGGACAAAGUCCAGAUCUAACCUCUAAAGCUCCACCAUGGGAGCAACAGAUUUUCUCCACCAAAGGAACUCGAAGAAUUUAUUGAUAGAGAUACAUUAACAAUGAAAAUCACAAGAAGAAAAUAUAAUAGAAACUGAAGUGGAAAAGGGUGGCCAAAAUCUACCCCUCAAAACCACUAGUUAAGGUUACUACCUUUAUAAUUGUAUCUUGUCUUGUGGAUAAUGGUAAUGCAGCCCAGCUCACCCAUUAAAUCAGUUAUUUAUUACAUAUGCU